rfam:Astyanax mexicanus Tnplaced_Scaffold_178, whole genome shotgun sequence.
GACGAGGUGGCCGAGUGGUUAAGGCGAUGGACUGCUAAUCCAUUGUGCUCUGCACGCGUGGGUUCGAAUCCACCUUCGUCG